rnacentral:rRNA from 1 species
UACGAAGGGGGCUAGCGUUGCUCGGAAUCACUGGGCGUAAAGGGUGCGUAGGCGGGUUUUUAAGUCAGGGGUGAAAUCCUGGAGCUCAACUCCAGAACUGCCUUUGAUACUGAAGAUCUUGAGUCCGGGAGAGGUGAGUGGAACUGCGAGUGUAGAGGUGAAAUUCGUAGAUAUUCGCAAGAACACCAGUGGCUAAGGCGGCUCACUGGCCCGGUACUGACGCUGAGGCACGAAAGCGUGGGGAGCAAACAGG